UUCCAAGUUCAAUCUCCCCAUUUUCCAGCUUCUCGUGGAAUAUCCUCCGCAGGCUAUAACAAUCCAUCGUUGAGUGUCCCGCGUAUUGGUGGAAUACACAGAAGUCUGGUCUUCUCUUUAUUUCUUCCGUCACUGCAAAUCUAGGCCUUGGGGGUUUCACCACUCCAUGUUCAACCCAUUGUUCAUACAAACCCCUGAAUGCUUUCUCACUACAUGUGAUAGCCUCCGGGACUGGCUUUCUUGCAUAUUUGUCUCCAGGC
rnacentral:lncRNA from 1 species